AUGCCUGAGGAGACUCCAGAGAGGAUUCUCUACUUUUCAUCAGAAAAACCUGUCUAUGACAGAGACUCUGACAAAAAAAAGUUUGAGGCAGAGAAGGAGCUCAUGGAGUCCACCUAUGGCUCCAUUGAAGUCCUAAAACAAACUCAGCUCUCCAUCAGUCGGGCAGAAAGUAGAACUGCACGAAUUGAAUGCCAUGUGGCUGUAUCUGAUUUUGGCACAGCUUAUCUACACUGGUAUCGACAGAGACCUGGUGCAGCUCCAGAGCGGAUUCUGUACUUUUCUUCGCAGGUCCAUGUUGACCGUGAGUCUGAUAAGGGAAAGGUCAAUGUACAAAAGAACCUCAACAAGUCCAUCUGUAUCCUGACAAUAAACAGAAUAAGCUCCAGUGACAUCGCUACCUAUUAUUGUGCUACUUGGACAGGCACAGCAUCAGAAAACCAUUAA